AAAUGCCUUUUGGAUCUCUCAUCAAAAUUCUCAUGAUAAUCAUGAAAGUCCAAGUCCAUAAGCUUGAAAAUAAUCAGUGGCCCAUUUUUGAUAAUGCCUGAUUUUUUUUUCAAAUCUGGGAUCUUGGAAAUUGAAUGGAUAUUUCUCUUAGUCCGAGAAAAUGUUUAGCAAAGGAUGAAUUUUUGUUUGACUUAUACCAAAAUCUUGAUGGUUGUUCUUCAAUUAAUUAUUUUCUUAGUUGAAGGUGCCUAAGAAAAUUACCUGAGUCUCAAUUUUUGUCAACUUCAAGAUCACAAAAACAAUAUCUAGGACCAAUCUCUCAUUUUCCAAAAUUUAGCCUUUUGACAAAUUGAGCCCCACAAAACGAAACUCGAGACUUUUUAAAGUUUCAAAAUUUCAAAUGUUACUUGAGUUAGAGAUGGGCAAUGCGUUCGCGAACGUUUGAAAAGAUUUAGUUCUACUGCAUGACUGCUGAGACUAAGCCAGUGAGUGAGCUACUUUAACUCAGUUGUAUGAGAAAAAUUUCGCUUAGUAAUGUGGUUUUUAUAAAUUUUUCAUGCAACUAAGUAGAAGUGAUUACCUCACUGAGUUACUCUCAGUGGCCGGACAGAGGGAAUUGAAUCAUUGCAUGAUUACGUCAUUAACACAGUUUAGACAGUUUAGGGAGCUUGUUUACAGGGGACUUAAACGUUUUUUGGUGGAAUCGCACCAUGAUAAGGAUUGAAGUAUUACAGCCUGAGGACAUCCAAGAGUGAAAAUUUGAAGAGUUUCAAAAUCGCUUCCUGGUAAAAAAGCUCCCUGAACUGUUAAAACAGUGUGGCUAAAUCAAUUUGUGCAAUGAUCUACACGCUAUUUUUAGGCUACCCAGUAACUGGGUAAAUUGCACCCACUCGUGCAUGACGUAUGGGGUUGUAAAAAUCUGGGUAAACAAUUUUUGUGUAGAUGAGUAGAAUCUACCCAGAUUCUGGGUAAUUGAGUCUUGUAAAAAAUUUCAUGAACUUAAAAUGGCGCGGCGUUGAAAGGUCGACUUUUGCGUACGAUUUGUACGAUUACGAUUACGCUGGAAUAAUUACUGUCUUAAAUCCAAUCAAAAUGGAACAACAACGGAACAAUCUGGAUAGUGAAAUUUACCAGCAGCUGGUUGGUAAGUAUAUUAAACCAUGUUAAACAUUAAACUUCGUCUUCCGGAUAGUACGAAACAAUGUAUAAACAUCAUUUGAAAUCGUACCACAAUAUACGAUGCAGCUUUCUAAAUUAUCUCCCUAUUGCAGGUGGUGAUUGCAAUGUCGUAUUUCAUCAUAAACAGUCAUCAAAAACCUAACGCGUCUGAUGAGGCUAUGGUUGAUGAAGCUAGUGAAGCAGAUUUCCGUUCAAGUCCAGUUCAGUUUGGCAUCCACUCGGACCAAGUACGUCAUUCUUACGCUGAUUAAAAUAAAUAAAUACUGAUAUAUUCGUAAAUUGCUUCCUUCUUUCUCUUUGUCUGGUUAAAGACAUUAUUUGUAAGUAUUUUAAAGGUUUUCAUGGGUUCCACAUAAUCUUUAUAUAAAAAUGGGUAAAGUCUACUCAGAUAACAAAUGUCAACAUCUGGGUAAACUUCACCAAGAUUUCUUCGCAAGCACGUUUACCCAAAUUUGGGUAAAUAUUGGUUUACCCAAAUUUGGGUACGUUCAGUUUUGACUGAACUGGGUAGAGUUCACCCAUUUUUGGGUAGAUUCAUAAUAGCGUGUAUGAACUGAACUGAGGAACGAGAACUAAGAAGAACUAACGAGCAAGAACUACGCUACCUAUAAUCGCAUAUCAGUCCCAUAUGGAUUUUCGUCAAUUUUGAGAUAACAACGUUAUCCACUAUCAAUAAUUGACCUUUACCUUCAUAUUGCACGAUAAAACUACGGACUUGGAUCAUGUAAAAUGUGAAAACAACAUCAAGUUAGUUUGUCCCAUCAAGCAAAGUAAACGCAUAGUCCCAUCCUUAAAUUCGAUCGUCCAGAGGUCAAGCUAUGAUUCUGCUUUUUGGAUCGUUAUAUUUUUCUCUGAUAUAACAAAACAUUCUAGCCUCUUCAUUGUAGAGUGAUUUUAUCUUAAAAAAAUAUCAAUUAAUUUACUAUGAUUUUUCAAAUAAUUCCAUGAGAAUUGUACUUCGUAACUUCUCAUUUUUUAAAUGUUAUUUUUUUCGAUAUGGGACUGAUAUGGAAUUAUAGGCAAUACACGACAAAUUAAUCCAACUCAUAUUUCAGUCCCAUUCACUCAAAUUCACAGAAACGUACGUCACUCAUCUAUGAGUAAACUGCCUAUAAUCACAUAUUAGUCCCAUAUGGAUUUUCACCAAUUUGGAGUUAGCAACGCUAUCCACCACCAUCGGUCUCAUCCUGAAAUUCAAUCUUCCGUAGUUCAAGUUAAAGUUCUGCCAUAGUUCAAGUUCGAAUUACCAUAGUUUUUGCUGAUAUAACAAAACAUGCAAGGUUCAUCCAACUGCACUGGAAUUGCACUUCGUAACUUUAACUGCCAUUUUCUAAAUGCUUACUUUCUCCGUAUGGGACUGAUAUGCGAUUAUAGGCACUAAAUGUCACUCAAAAAUGAGUGACAUUAACUCAUAUUUCUAGAUAGAG